GAUGAACGCUGGCGGCGUGCUUAACACAUGCAAGUCGAACGGGAAAUAUUUCAUUGAGACUUCGGUGGAUUUGAUUUAUUUCUAGUGGCGGACGGGUGAGUAACGCGUGGGUAACCUGCCUUAUACAGGGGGAUAACAGUCAGAAAUGGCUGCUAAUACCGCAUAAGCGCACAGAGCUGCAUGGCUCAGUGUGAAAAACUCCGGUGGUAUAAGAUGGACCCGCGUUGGAUUAGCUAGUUGGUGGGGUAACGGCCCACCAAGGCGACGAUCCAUAGCCGGCCUGAGAGGGUGAGCGGCCACACUGGGACUGAGACACGGCCCAGACUCCUACGGGAGGCAGCAGUGGGGAAUAUUGCACAAUGGGGGAAACCCUGAUGCAGCGACGCCGCGUGAAGGAAGAAGUAUCUCGGUAUGUAAACUUCUAUCAGCAGGGAAGAUAGUGACGGUACCUGACUAAGAAGCCCCGGCUAACUACGUG
rnacentral:rRNA from 1 species